AAUAGAUACCCAGGUAGUCCACACCGUAAACGUUGGGCGCUAGGUGUGGGGCCUAUUCCAUGGGUUCCGUGCCGCAGCUAACGCAUUAAGCGCCCCGCCUGGGGAGUACGGCCGCAAGGCUAAAACUCGAAGGAAUUGACGGGGGCCCGCACAAGCGGCGGAGCAUGCGGAUUAAUUCGAUGCAACGCGAAGAACCUUACCUGGGUUUGACAUACACCGAAAAGCGCCAGAGAUGGUGCCCCUUUUGUCGGUGUACAGGUGGUGCAUGGCUGUCGUCAGCUCGUGUCGUGAGAUGUUGGGUUAAGUCCCGCAACGAGCGCAACCCUCGUCCUAUGUUGCCAGCACGUUAUGGUGGGGACUCAUAGGAGACUGCCGGGGUCAACUCGGAGGAAGGUGGGGAUGACGUCAAGUCAUCAUGCCCCUUAUGUCCAGGGCUUCACGCAUGCUACAAUGGCCGGUACAAAGGGCUGCGAUGCUGCAAGGCGGAGCGAAUCCCAAAAAGCCGGUCUCAGUUCGGAGUUGGGGU
rnacentral:rRNA from 1 species